CCUUCUCAUCCUCGUUAUUGGCAUCGGAAUAAUCGUCGAGAAUGUUUCUCCAGCUUUGUACCAGUUCAUAGGUUCGUGGAUCAUCUUUGGUAUAAAUGUGGUUCAAAUAAGUGUAAUCACGAUCGGUAGCACUUGGAUCCGAACUUCUAGGUUCAUCACGGAGAUCUUCUAUUUCGAAAAGAUGAGGAACGGCAUCUAUUCGAAAACCGUCUACGCCUUUACGUAACCAAAAUCGAAUGACGUCCUAAAAAAUAUAAAAUCAUGAAAUUCGACGAAUUCAAUUAGAGAUCCACCUUUCGAUUCGAUAAUCGCACUAACUUCCAUCUCGGCUCGCACUUCUGGAUGACUGUAAUUCAAGUCUGGUUGCCUGUACUCGAAUUGAUGGAAA